CGGACGGGUGAGUAAUGUCUGGGAAACUGCCUGAUGGAGGGGGAUAACUACUGGAAACGGUAGCUAAUACCGCAUAACGUCGCAAGACCAAAGAGGGGACCUUCGGGCCUCUUGCCAUCGGAUGUGCCCAGAUGGGAUUAGCUAGUAGGUGGGGUAACGGCUCACCUAGGCGACGAUCCCUAGCUGGUCUGAGAGGAUGACCAGCCACACUGGAACUGGGACACGGUCCAG
rnacentral:rRNA from 1 species